rnacentral:rRNA from 1 species
CCUACGGGAGGCAGCAGUGGGGAAUAUUGGUCAAUGGACGAAACCCUGACCCAGCCACGCCGCGUUAAUGAUGAAGGUCUUCUGAUUGUACAGCUCUUUUCUAAGGGAAGCAGAAAGUGACGGUACCUUAGGAAUAAGCCUCGGCUACCUACGUGCCAGCAGCCGCGGUAAUACGUAGGAGGCGAGCGUUAUCCGGAAUGACUGGGUGUAAAGGGUGCGUAGGUGGUUUGGCAAGUUAGUAGGGAAACUGCAAGGCCCAACCUUGGAACUACUACUGAAAAUGGUGGACGUGAGUGCAGGAGAGGCAUGCGGAAUGCCUAGUGUAGCGGUGAAAUGCGUAGAUAUUAGGAGGAACACCGGUGGCGAAGGCGGGUUGCUAGACUGUAACUGACGCUGAGGCACGAAAGCGUGGGGAGCAAACAGGAUUAGAUACCCGGGUAGUC